rnacentral:tRNA from 1 species
AGCGGAUAUCGUCUAAGGGUAGGGCCUCAGCCUUCCAAGCUGAAGAUGCGGGUUCGAGUCCCGCUAUCCGCUU